CAUGCAAGUCGAGCGGAGUUUUGAAAAGCUUGCUUUUCAAAACUUUGCGGCGGACGGGUGAGUAACACGUGGGCAACCUGCCCUUGAGACGGGGAUAACUCCGGGAAACCGGAGCUAAUACCGGAUAACACAUAUCUUCGCAUGAAGAUAUGUUAGAAGGUGGCUUUUAGCUACCACUCAAGGAUGGGCCCGCGGCGCAUUAGCUAGUUGGUGAGGUAACGGCUCACCAAGGCGACGAUGCGUAGCCGACCUGAGAGGGUGAUCGGCCACACUGGGACUGAGACACGGCCCAGACUCCUACGGGAGGCAGCAGUAGGGAAUCUUCCGCAAUGGACGAAAGUCUGACGGAGCAACGCCGCGUGAGUGAUGAAGGUUUUCGGAUCGUAAAGCUCUGUUGUUAGGGAAGAACAAGUACCUGUUGAAUAAGCAGGUACCUUGACGGUACCUAACCAGAAAGCCACGGCUAACUACGUGCCAGCAGCCGCGGUAAUACGUAGGUGGCAAGCGUUGUCCGGAAUUAUUGGGCGUAAAGCGCGCGCAGGCGGUUCCUUAAGUCUGAUGUGAAAGCCCACGGCUCAACCGUGGAGGGUCAUUGGAAACUGGGGAACUUGAGUGCAGAAGAGGAGAGCGGAAUUCCACGUGUAGCGGUGAAAUGCGUAGAGAUGUGGAGGAACACCAGUGGCGAAGGCGGCUCUCUGGUCUGUAACUGACGCUGA
rnacentral:rRNA from 1 species